UAAUCAAAAGGUUUUUUCCCAAGUCAAUUGGUGUGAAGGAUUCCAAUUACGCUGAGUUCAUGGCAAUCAUAGAGGAAGGGACUCUCUUUCUUUUCUUCAUCUACUUGGGCUUGCUUUCACUAUAUUAUUAUUAUUGAAAGUAAUUCUAAUUAAGAAUGAAGUUCCGUGGACCACCAAGCAUUCCAUUGUCCCUUGGCGUACGGAACUUAUCCCAAACCAGAUUGAAAGCUUUAAGUCCAGACUCAAAGGUGUUUCUAAUUUUCUUCAUACUCAAAGUGAGGCUAACUCGGUUGCUGAUUUGUUAGCCAAAUGAGGAGUCUCUCUUGUGGCGUGGCUGUAAAUUGGAUGCUGCUUUCUUCUGUUGAUAUUCAGAAAGAUGAUAAUGUCUAGCUCCUGUUAGCCCACGGAAAAGGAUAGAAAGGAGAGACUGGAGAACCCCUAGAAAAAAAUGAAGGAAAAAAGGUGAAGAAAGAGCAGCAGGUGAUCAGUCAGAAGAGCAAAGAUACUUAAAUGCCUAAAAAACAAAAAAAGCAGAGAAAGUGAAGUACUAUGUUCUCUGUGCGAUGAAAUCAAACAACAAUUGCAGCUCCUUUUAUUUUACCCUGUCUUCUUUCUCACAACUCUAGUGUUUACAGUCAUGCAUUGCUUUUCUUCUGUAUAUCAAACUCUUGUCAUGUGUUUCCUUUAGACUCUUCCAUUUCCAUGGGAGAUUGGGAGAAAUUGUACAAUAUUUGAAUGAAAACAUAACUGUAAUGGAAAAUCAAAACUUUAAAC